CCUGGCCACAAACUUUAGAACUCUCCCGGCAGCGAUUACCAUACGUGGGUUUGUGGUUAGGAUCAGCUAGGAGAACACCCUCGCACGUGCUAAGGCACUCUCCAAUCUCUCUUUACUUCAGAGCAUCAGUUUACCAUACCGAAAAUACUUUAUACAAAUAAAGUCUCGUUAAAGCUAUUCCUUUGGAUUCGACCCCUCUUUCCAAGAAAAACAUUGCAAUUUGGUGAAGCCCUGACGUGAUUGGAAAGUUCCGGACCGAGACUUGCGACCGCGGGGCCGUCGGGAGCAGUACAAGCUACUUACAGGCGCCACAAGAAAGCGUGGUCUCAAGACGGCUGCAUAGACCCACAACUAUCGACCUUUGGUUUUGUAUGUACUGGUCUUCAUAUAUCUUCAUAAUGGAUUGGUUUAGGUACAGAUGAUUAAGGAAAGGAACUUCAACUUGGUUGCACUACACCGUUGUUAGGAUUGGUUAAUUCUAAUGCGCAUGGCUGAAGCAAUGCGCAAGGAGGGAUGUAGUGUGAAUAUUAAAUCAAGGUUGAAGGUUGAAAUCAGCUCAGAAUAAGGAAUGGGACACUCAAAACAAAAAUUUAAAAUCCGCACAAGCACUAAAUAGAUCAAUUAUAAUACAAACAUGUUUGAAACGCAUACAAUUUUCAGGUCCUAUGUUUCCAGAAGCAAGGUGAGUACAGUGUAUCACUCUGACACAGCUAACUUUGCACCUAAUGCUUACGGUUAGAUUCAUGCUUACACUUACAUUUCUAGGGUCCCAUAAUGGACUUCCAUUAGAACAAUUAAAAAUAGAAUUAUAGGAAAUGUUUUUGAACAACUAACUGCUGUACUUGAGUUUGUAUUUCUACAAUAGAAACAAAAGUUCCAGAACCAGAUGCAGACACACCCGGAGCCGAUAAACUGCCUCCGCCGAGCAAGGAGCAGUCACAUGAGAUCAAAUAACGGCAGGAGUUGAAUUGGUUCUGUUUUGCUUGUCCACCAUAUAAAAAUUAUGUAUAUAUAUAUUGUUUAGAUAAAUUACAUGUAUCACAAUCAGCAACACUUCGUUCAGUUUAACAGAUAAAGUUAAAAGGAAUAUGUAUAUAUAUGGAAAUGUUAUUGACAGAGCAAGGAGGGAUAAAUGCGAUAGGCACAACGUGUUGUAGGCCAACUUUAUCCCCAAUAACACAGCUCUGGAUGGGUUGCUGGCAUAAUUACAAUCCCUCAGGUUAGAAUUGGCAGAGAACUCCGGCAUUAAUGACCCUUUCACAGGUUGGAUGGAGAAUAUGUUUGGGAGGUGGAAAAGCAUGAUCCAGUAAGUGCCCGUCGCGGGAAUAAAUGCAGAGACCGUGUUAAUUGUCACCGGCUGCCGUUGUAUUCCCUGCGCACGAGGGCUACUGCAUCUGCUGAUCCCCACAGCAGUGGGCGCUACAGAAGCGCCAAGUGCCAUUCAGGCUUACAUGGGGAUCAGAUAUGAUCCGAUGAAAGUGAAUGAUACAUCACCUGAGGGGCCCGACCAUAUCCAGCUGUAAUAUGCAGAAUAGUCAACACCUAUACUAUUCUAGUAGAAGCGCCUGUAUAUAAGAUAAUCAAUAUCCCGGAUUUACUUGAAUAACACAUUUCCAACAACCAUACCAGGCUGUUUGUUAUUGUAUAGUGUUGCGAAUGCAACCCGUUAUUUCUGAAUCGCUGCAUUGAUAAUGGUACUGUUGAUCUUCCUUGAGACGAUUGUUUUACAGGCCACCUGUUGCUGACACGACGACGGAGAACCUGUGGGGAGGCUCCCAUAGUGUAGGAGUAACCUCUCUGAGAUGAGCCCUUGACAAGGAGGGACGAGUCUUGGGUUCAUGAAUUACAGACCCGACGGCGACAGAAAAAACAAUGACUACAGUAAUAACAUCGCCCAAAACCACCCACAGGAACCGGCACACCAAUACACGAAGAUCACCUGAACCCCCAAAUCCAUGUUAGCUUAUCAAUCCUUUUGAAAUUUUAAAAAUUGUAUUAUGACCACCAAUUUUUACGUUACUUUUGCACCUGUUGAAUAUUUUAUGACCUUGUAGCACAUGACCAAAAGUAUUACCUCAGGAUUUCUAUUGAUAGUUUUGUUUGUGUGCUGUUUGGCCAUGUGAUUGUAUGAUAACAAGAUUCAUGUUCAUUGUUGUAUUGUUAAAUAAUGACCUGUAUUUUCAACAAGACCCACAACGUGAAUGCCGUCUCAGUAUUAUGGGGACGCGUAGUGGUUUUUCCCCUCUCUUCAAGAGGUCUUUCAUGACGGUUGAUGGUGUUGAUGAUAGAUUCUACUUUGACUAUGUUUUCGGUGUGGUAAAAUGGUGUUUAUGAUCUAAAAUAUUAUUGUAUGGUCAUCUAAGAUGACCAAGGAGGGACUGUUACGUAUUUUAGGAACACAAGCUGUAUUUCCCUCACUUAACCAAUAGGGGGUAGGACCAAAUAUAUAAGCCGUAAAUACUACACAUAGCCACAAGGGAAAGCAGGACAUUACUGAAGGCUGCAAUAGAUACUUUAGCCACAGAGGGCAGCAUCACAGACCAGGCGAGGAAAACCGAGGAUUACGUCACACCGGUUCCUCUCCAAGUCUUCCGGUCCUCGCUGAGUCCAUAAAGAAGACCACCUGGCCACAAACUUAAGAACUCUCCCGGCAGCGAUUACCAUACGUGGGUUUGUGGUUAGGAUCAGCUAGGAGAACACUCUCGCACGUGCUAAGGCACAUCUCCAAUCUCUCUUUACUUCAGAGUAUCAGUUUACCAUACCGAAAAUACUUUAUACAAAUAAAGUCUCUUUAAAGC
ensembl:lncRNA